rnacentral:rRNA from 1 species
CCUACGGGAGGCAGCAGUGAGGAAUAUUGGUCAAUGGACGAGAGUCUGAACCAGCCAAGUAGCGUGAAGGAUGACUGCCCUAUGGGUUGUAAACUUCUUUUAUAUGGGAAUAAAAUGUUCCACGUGUGGGAUUUUGUAUGUACCAUAUGAAUAAGGAUCGGCUAACUCCGUGCCAGCAGCCGCGGUAAUACGGAGGAUCCGAGCGUUACCCGGGUUUAUUGGGUUUAAAGGGAGCGUAGGUGGAUUGUUAAGUCAGUUGUGAAAGUUUGCGGCUCAACCGUAAAAUUGCAGUUGAAACUGGCAGUCUUGAGUACAGUAGAGGUGGGCGGAAUUCGUGGUGUAGCGGUGAAAUGCUUAGAUAUCACGAAGAACUCCGAUUGCGAAGGCAGUUCACUGGACUGCAACUGACACUGAGGCUCGAAAGUGUGGGUAUCAAACAGGAUUAGAUACCCGUGUAGUC